rnacentral:rRNA from 1 species
CGGGGUGCAGCAGGCGCGAAACCUCUGCAAUAGGCGAAAGCCUGACAGGGUUACUCUGAGUGAUUUCCGUUAAGGAGAUCUUUUGGCACCUCUAAAAAUGGUGCAGAAUAAGGGGUGGGCAAGUCUGGUGUCAGCCGCCGCGGUAAUACCAGCACCCCGAGUGGUCGGGACGUUUAUUGGGCCUAAAGCAUCCGUAGCCGGUUCUACAAGUCUUCCGUUAAAUCCACCUGCUUAACAGAUGGGCUGCGGAAGAUACUAUAGAGCUAGGAGGCGGGAGAGGCAAGCGGUACUCGAUGGGUAGGGGUAAAAUCCGUUGAUCCAUUGAAGACCACCAGUGGCGAAGGCGGCUUGCCAGAACGCGCUCGACGGUGAGGGAUGAAAGCUGGGGGAGCAAACCGGAUUAGAUACCCGGGUAGUCCCAGCUGUAAACGAUGCAGACUCGGUGAUGAGUUGGCUUUAUGCCAACUCAGUGCCGCAGGGAAGCCGUUAAGUUUGCCGCCUGGGGAGUACGGUCGCAAGAGUGAAACUUAAAGGAAUUGGCGGGGGAGCACAA